AUUGAACGCUGGCGGCAGGCCUAACACAUGCAAGUCGAACGGUAACAGGAAACAGCUUGCUGUUUCGCUGACGAGUGGCGGACGUGUGAGUAAUGUCUGGGAAACUGCCUGAUGGAGGGGGAUAACUACUGGAAACGGUAGCUAAUACCGCAUAACGUCGCAAGACCAAAGAGGGGGACCUUCGGGCCUCUUGCCAUCGGAUGUGCCCAGAUGGGAUUAGCUAGUAGGUGGGGUACGGCUCACCUAGGCGACGAUCCCUAGCUGGUCUGAGAGGAUGACCAGACACACUGGAACUGAGAAACGGUCCAGACUCCUACGGGAGGCAGCAGUGGGGAAUAUUGCACAAAGGGCGCAAGCCUGAUGCAGCCAUGCCGCGUGUAUGAAGAAGGCCUUCGGGUUGUAAAGUACUUUAAGCGGGGAGGAAGGGAGUAAAGUUAAUACCUGUACUAAUUGACGGUACCCGCAGAAGAAGCACCGGCUAACUCCGUG
rnacentral:rRNA from 1 species